CUCACAGCUACUGGACUGCAGAUAUUAGCUGAGAACAGCAGUAGAAGGGAAGGAGCGCCGCGCGCUACAUUAUUUAUUUAUGUAAUACUGAGAAUCAAAUAUAGGAAUAUCUACAUAGCAUAUCAUCUUUCCCUCAUAGUUAUCGAUUUUUUUCUUCACAGUUGUUCGUAUCAUGGUGAAGAGAAGGAGCGCCGUUGCAAAGACCAAACUCCCGCGGCCAAACAGAAACAACAACAACAACAAGAGCAGCUUGGAGCGGACCACCUUGCCUUGGCUAGCUGUGUUUUUCCCCAGUACAUGUUGUUCCCAGGACGUGAGGGAGCUGGGGAGCGAGGUGCAGUGUCCGCCCCGCCCUAUGUGCUGCCUGAUCUAGUGAAAUAAGUGUGAUGAGGCAGCAGCAGCAGUUUGACUCACCCCCACCACUGCUGCUGCAUCACAGGGAGUAAUUAUCUGGCCUUCACACCUGUGCACACCUGUGGAACCUUUGAUUCCACCAGUGCCAGGAGCCAGUGCCAUGGUGUGCCAUCUCCACAUGCCAGUGAUAAAGUAGACUGCCUCCACUGCAUUGCUAAGAACAUUAAGAAAGUGGAUCCUUGAUGCAAUACUGAAGUGUGGAUUGAGUGAUGUGGAUGGUGCAAAGUGUGGUGGUGUGGCGGUGGUAGGUGUGGAGGAGGUGGAGCUUGCGGCACAGUGAUGGAGGGGGACGGAGGGACGCCUCGGAGGGUGGUGCGGGUGCCCCACACCAGGCAGGCCAGUAGGGACAAGGUGCCCAUCUCAGAGAAGGUAUGUGAUUCAUUUACUUAUUCAUCAGAGUAUCUAUAUCUAUAUAUCUACAUAUUUUUUUUUUCUUUCUUUCUUUUAUUUUUAUGGAAGAUAGAUUCUGGGCAGUGAAAAAUAGUGAAAGAAAAGGCAUGCUGAAGGUGCCAAUCCCAGAAGAGUUGUUAUGAGUUGUGUGUUGAUGAUCUGUGCUGUGUGUGGCUGUGAGGUGAUGACUUCUGCUAUGUGUGGUUGUGUGAAUGUGUAGUGACUGUAGCCUCUUGUGUGGUGAUAAUCUAUACUGUGUAUGUUGGUGUGGUGACUUGCCUUUGCUUGUGUGAUGAUGACUUGCUGUGUGAGGUCUUCCUCUAUACCUGUUACUCAAAUAUCAGGAGUUGGGACAAUGAAGAAGUCGUCUCCAGUAGCUUUUAUCCAUUAGUACAUCUCUUGUUUCCAUUCCUUGCAAGGCCAUUCCUCCUCCUUACUCUCUGUCUUCCCUUCAAGCUUCUUUCUUCCAAUGGUGUUCUCUGUCUGACUCUCUUGAUACCUACCUCAUCCUUUCUUUUUACAACAUGAUCAAAAUAUGUAACCCAAUUCAGAUUUUCUUUUCAUUUCAUAGUCUUUUUCUUUAUUUUCAUCAUCUCCUCAGUUCCUUUCUUUUACAGGUAUUCCUUUGCCAGGCUGUUUUAAUACUUUCCUCCUCUUUUUUUUUUUAUAUGAUCAAAAUACCUUAAUUCAGAUUUAUUUAAUUUUACUUUUCUAUUAUUUCCAUCUCCUCCCUCAAAGUUCCUUCCUUCUGCAGAUGUUCUCAGUCAUGCUUGUUUAAUACAUUCCUCCUCCUCUCUUUUAACAUUACCAAAAUACCUCAGUUCAGAUUUUCUUUUUAUUUUAUUGUAUUUUUCUCAUUUUACUUCAAGUGGCUGUACAGUGAAGACUUGUGAUGAUUUAUGACUGAGAUAUCUUUGCUUUGUGUGGUGACGGGGCCUAUUAUUUGUGGUGAGAACUUACAGAUUUGUGUAUUUUUAUUUAUUUGUCUAUUUAUAAUAUAUGAAGGAGAGCAGCCAAGGAGAAAAAAAAAAAUUCUUAAUGCUCUUCCUAUAAAGACUGUGUAGGAUAGAAGAACCAGGAGAGAGAGAGAGAGAGAGAGAGAGAGAGAGAGAGAGAGAGAGAGAGAGAGAGAGAGAGA